CUGGGCUUGACAUGCGCCAGACAUCCCUAGAGAUAGGGCUUCCCUUGUGGUUGGUGUGCAGGUGGUGCAUGGCUGUCGUCAGCUCGUGUCGUGAGAUGUUGGGUUAAGUCCCGCAACGAGCGCAACCCUCGUUCCAUGUUGCCAGCGCGUUAUGGCGGGGACUCAUGGGAGACUGCCGGGGUCAACUCGGAGGAAGGUGGGGAUGACGUCAAGUCAUCAUGCCCCUUAUGUCCAGGGCUUCACACAUGCUACAAUGGCUAGUACAGAGGGUUGCGAAAUCGUGAGGUGGAGCGAAUCCCUUAAAGCUGGUCUCAGUUCGGAUUGGGGUCUGCAACUCGACCCCAUGAAGUCGGAGUCGCUAGUAAUCGCAGAUCAGCAACGCUGCGGUGAAUA
rnacentral:rRNA from 1 species